rnacentral:rRNA from 1 species
GGUCGCCAACCCGCGAGGGGGAGCCAAUCCCAGAAAACCGAUCGUAGUCCGGAUCGCACUCUGCAACUCGAGUGCGUGAAGCUGGAAUCGCUAGUAAUCGCGGAUCAGCAUGCCGCGGUGAAUACGUUCCCGGGUCUUGUACACACCGCCCGUCACACCAUGGGAGUGGGUUUUACCAGAAGUGGCUAGUCUAACCGCAAGGAGGACGGUCACCACGGUAGGAUUCAUGACUGGGGUGAAGUCGUAACAAGGUAGCCGUAUCGGAAGGUGCGGCUGGAUCACCUCCUUUCUCG